GACGAACGCUGGCGGCGUGCCUAAUACAUGCAAGUCGAGCGAAGUUUUUCUGGUGCUUGCACUAGAAAAACUUAGCGGCGAACGGGUGAGUAACACGUAAAGAACCUGCCUCAUAGACUGGGACAACUAUUGGAAACGAUAGCUAAUACCGGAUAACAGUAUUUCUCGCAUGAGAGAUAUUUAAAAGUUGGUUAUGCUAACACUAUGAGAUGGCUUUGCGGUGCAUUAGCUAGUUGGUGGGGUAAAGGCCCACCAAGGCGACGAUGCAUAGCCGACCUGAGAGGGUGAUCGGCCACACUGGGACUGAGACACGGCCCAGACUCCUACGGGAGGCAGCAGUAGGGAAUCUUCCGCAAUGGGCGAAAGCCUGACGGAGCAACGCCGCGUGAGUGAAGAAGGAUUUCGGUUCGUAAAGCUCUGUUGUUAGGGAAGAAUGGAUAUGUAGUAACUAUACAUGUAAGAGACGGUACCUAACCAGAAGGCCACGGCUAACUACGUG
rnacentral:rRNA from 1 species